AUUGAACGCUGGCGGCAUGCCUUACACAUGCAAGUCGAACGGUAACGGGCCUUCGGGUGCCGACGAGUGGCGAACGGGUGAGUAAUGUAUCGGAACGUACCUUCAGUGGGGGAUAACGUAGCGAAAGUUACGCUAAUACCGCAUAUUCUGUGAGCAGGAAAGCAGGGGAUCGCAAGACCUUGCGCUGAUUGAGCGGCCGAUGGCAGAUUAGGUAGUUGGUGGGAUAAAAGCUUACCAAGCCGACGAUCUGUAGCUGGUCUGAGAGGACGACCAGCCACACUGGGACUGAGACACGGCCCAGACUCCUACGGGAGGCAGCAGUGAGGAAUCUUCCACAAUGGACGAAAGUCUGAUGGAGCAAUACCGCGUGCAGGAAGACGCUUUUCGGAGUGUAAACUGCUUUUGUCGUCGAAGAUUAUGACUGUAGACGAAGAAUAAGGACCGGCUAACUACGUG
rnacentral:rRNA from 1 species